rnacentral:rRNA from 1 species
UUUGAUCCUGGCUCAGAUUGAACGCUGGCGGGAUGCUUUACACAUGCAAGUCGGACGGCAGCACGGGCUUCGGCUGGUGGCGAGUGGCGAACGGGUGAGUAAUGUAUCGGAACGUGCCCAGUAGCGGGGGAUAACUACGCGAAAGCGUGGCUAAUACCGCAUACGCCCUACGGGGGAAAGCGGGGGACCUUCGGGCCUCGCACUAUUGGAGCGGCCGAUAUCGGAUUAGCUAGUUGGUGGGGUAACGGCCUACCAAGGCGACGAUCCGUAGCUGGUUUGAGAGGACGACCAGCCACACUGGGACUGAGACACGGCCCAGACUCCUACGGGAGGCAGCAGUGGGGAAUUUUGGACAAUGGGGGCAACCCUGAUCCAGCCAUCCCGCGUGUGCGAUGAAGGCCUUCGGGUUGUAAAGCACUUUUGGCAGGAAAGAAACGGCACGGGCUAAUAUCCUGUGCAACUGACGGUACCUGCAGAAUAAGCACCGGCUAACUACGUGCCAGCAGCCGCGGUAAUACGUAGGGUGCAAGCGUUAAUCGGAAUUACUGGGCGUAAAGCGUGCGCAGGCGGUUCGGAAAGAAAGAUGUGAAAUCCCAGGGCUUAACCUUGGAACUGCAUUUUUAACUACCGGGCUAGAGUGUGUCAGAGGGAGGUGGAAUUCCGCGUGUAGCAGUGAAAUGCGUAGAUAUGCGGAGGAACACCGAUGGCGAAGGCAGCCUCCUGGGAUAACACUGACGCUCAUGCACGAAAGUGUGGGGAGCAAACAGGAUUAGAUACCCUGGUAGUCACGCCCUAAACGAUGUCAACUACUGUUGGGGCCUUCGGGCCUUGGUAGCGCAGCUAACGCGUGAAGUUGACCGCCUGGGGAGUACGGUCGCAAGAUUAAAACUCAAAGGAAUUGACGGGGACCCGCACAAGCGGUGGAUGAUGUGGAUUAAUUCGAUGCAACGCGAAAAACCUUACCUACCCUUGACAUGUCUGGAAUCCCGAAGAGAUUUGGGAGUGCUCGCAAGAGAACCGGAACACAGGUGCUGCAUGGCUGUCGUCAGCUCGUGUCGUGAGAUGUUGGGUUAAGUCCCGCAACGAGCGCAACCCUUGUCAUUAGUUGCUACGAAAGGGCACUCUAAUGAGACUGCCGGUGACAAACCGGAGGAAGGUGGGGAUGACGUCAAGUCCUCAUGGCCCUUAUGGGUAGGGCUUCACACGUCAUACAAUGGUCGGGACAGAGGGUUGCCAACCCGCGAGGGGGAGCCAAUCCCAGAAACCCGGUCGUAGUCCGGAUCGCAGUCUGCAACUCGACUGCGUGAAGUCGGAAUCGCUAGUAAUCGCGGAUCAGCAUGUCGCGGUGAAUACGUUCCCGGGUCUUGUACACACCGCCCGUCACACCAUGGGAGUGGGUUUUACCAAAAGUAGUUAGCCUAACCGCAAGGGGGGCGAUUACCACGGUAGGAUUCAUGACUGGGGUGAA